rnacentral:rRNA from 1 species
UACGGAGGGGGCUAGCGUUGUUCGGAAUUACUGGGCGUAAAGCGUGCGCAGACGGUCAUGUAAGUCGGGUGUGAAAGCCCCGGGCUCAACCUGGGAAUUGCAUUCGAGACUGCAUGGCUAGGGUGCGGAAGAGGGAAGCGGAAUUUCCGGUGUAGCGGUGAAAUGCGUAGAGAUCCGGAAGAACACCGGUGGCGAAGGCGGUCUGCUGGGGUAAUGCUGACACUGAUGCGCGACAGCGUGGGGAGCAAACAGG